rnacentral:lncRNA from 1 species
UCCUGGCCUCAUCCAGAACUUGAUAGUAGAUGCUCUAGCUGCAUUUUUAUCAGCUACUAGCACUCUUCAUUUAUUAUAAGUAAUGUUAUAUCUUAGCUAGUGGUAGAAAUAACUAACUAUAAUUAAAAUUUGUGGCAAACUAACACCUACAUAUAUUCAAUACAUUUAAUUUCUGCUGGCAUUGAACUAAAUGCCUAUUUGAGAGGAACAGGAGCAUUCUGCAGUCAUCUCGGGAUUAGUUCUUAUUUAAACUUUUAGGUAUAUGCAUUAUAGUUAUUUAUAGGUUGUGACUGCUAUUGUAAAGAUUGCUGCUGUUCACCUUAAAUUCAUUUAAACCCUUGAUCCUUCAGAGACGAGCCCACAGGAGUUUUGUUUUGUUUUUGUAAAGUAUAAACUCUCACUUUGCUAGACCAACUUGGUCAAAAGAAGCUCCAGGCUGUGCUGCCCAGGCUGGACCUUCAGUCGAGUCCACAAUCUCAUUUGCGCAAAUCCUGAGCACUAUUCUGUCGGGGGGCUGCCUUGGACGAGUCUCCAGAGCUCCCUCAGCUCCAAAAGAAGAAGAAGAA